CUGACAAUCUCCACCUGUCUAGCUCAAGGUUCUAUAUAGCAAGAUAGCAGUUAAAUAAAUCUGAGCUUGUUCCUAGAAAGCCAACUCCACUGAAGUCUCCCGUAUCUUUCCAACUGAUGUAGGCCGCCGAGUCAAAGUCAAAUGCUCAAUGUAACGGCUAAUUAGCGUUGAGAAACACCUAUGUGUUGCUGCACCCGUAAUAUUACAUAUACAAGGUUCAAUUCAGUCCAGGUUGUAUCUAUUCUUUUA